rnacentral:rRNA from 1 species
GAUGAACGCUAGCGGCAGGCUUAAUACAUGCAAGUCGAGGGGCAGCGGGGGUAGCAAUACCUGCCGGCGACCGGCAAACGGGUGCGGAACACGUACGCAACCUUCCUUUAACUGGAGAAUAGCCCCUCGAAAGAGGGAUUAAUACUCCGUAACAUAUUGAUAAGGCAUCUUAUUAAUAUUAUAGUCUUUCGGACGGUUAAAGAUGGGCGUGCGCCUGAUUAGAUAGUUGGUGAGGUAACGGCUCACCAAGUCUGCGAUCAGUAACUGGUGUGAGAGCACGACCAGUCACACGGGCACU